CUUCAUAGUCACACACACACACGCCCUUUUUUACACAUCCAUGUUUCUCCUCACUUCUGUUUCAGUUACCCACCGUCAACCACGAUCCAGAAGCAGAUGAUCCUCAGAACGUCAAGACAGCAGCCUAAUGCUAUGUUACGAUGCCUAUGUCAUUGCCCUCACUUCAUCUCAUCACGUGAUCAUCAUCAUCACAAGGAGAAGGUCUCGAAGACAAGUCUGGACCAAUUUCUCCAUCCUGCCUCUGGCAGCAGACUGUAGCAUUUCAGAUCCUCCACCAAGUCCCGGCUGCUUCAAAGGAAAAAUCCUACUUUCUUCAGUUAAGAUCAUAAGAAAUAUAGGGGGAGGGGGUCAGCUCUGUUUGGACAUAAUUACACUUCAUCAAAAGAAGCUUUCUUCAUCUUCCAUGCGUGAAAAGUCUGCAAGCAGUUAAGUCUGUCUUUUUUUUUUUUUUUAAAUAUAAAAAUUGCUAUUUGGGAAACCAGCCAAAACUCAGAAAGCCAAUAUAGUAAAACAGUGCACACCCUUU